rnacentral:rRNA from 1 species
GACGAACGCUGGCGGCGUGCUUAACACAUGCAAGUCGAACGGAAAGGCCCUGCUUUUGUGGGGUGCUCGAGUGGCGAACGGGUGAGUAACACGUGAGUAACCUGCCCUUGACUUUGGGAUAACUUCAGGAAACUGGGGCUAAUACCGGAUAGGAGCUCCUGCUGCAUGGUUGGGGUUGGAAAGUUUCGGCGGUUGGGGAUGGACUCGCGGCUUAUCAGCUUGUUGGUGGGGUAGUGGCUUACCAAGGCUUUGACGGGUAGCCGGCCUGAGAGGGUGACCGGCCACAUUGGGACUGAGAUACGGCCCAGACUCCUACGGGAGGCAGCAGUGGGGAAUAUUGCACAAUGGGCGGAAGCCUGAUGCAGCAACGCCGCGUGCGGGAUGACGGCCUUCGGGUUGUAAACCGCUUUCGCCUGUGACGAAGCGUGAGUGGCGGUAAUGGGUAAAGAAGCACCGGCUAACUACGUG